rnacentral:rRNA from 1 species
UGAGGAAUAUUGGUCAAUGGGCGAGAGCCUGAACCAGCCAAGUAGCGUGCAGGAUGACGGCCCUAUGGGUUGUAAACUGCUUUUACGCGGGGAUAAAGUGCGUGACGUGUCGCGCAUCGCAGGUACCGCGUGAAUAAGGACCGGCUAAUUCCGUGCCAGCAGCCGCGGUAAUACGGAAGGUCCGGGCGCUAUCCGGAUUUAUUGGGUUUAAAGGGAGCGCAGGCCGCCCGAUAGGCGUGUUGUGAAAUGUACCGGCUCAACCGGGGAGUUGCAGCGCGAACUGUCAGGCUUGAGUGCACGGUAGGCAGGCGGAAUUCAUGGUGUGGCGGUGAAAUGCUUAGAUAUCAUGAGGAACUCCGAUUGCGAAGGCAGCUUGCUGCAGUGCGACUGACGCUUAGGCUCGAAGGUGCGGGUAUCAAACAGG